ACGAGCUGGCGGCGUGCCUAAUACAUGCAAGUCGAGCGGACCGAUUGAAGAGCUUGCUCUUUAUGAGGUUAGCGGCGACGGGUGAGUAACACGUGGGCAACCUGCCUUACAGAUUUGGGAUAACAACGAGAAAUCGUUGCUAAUACCGAAUAAUCAAUGUUCUCGCAUGAGAGCGUUAUGGAAGUUGGCGCAAGCUAACACUGUAAGAUGGGCCCGCGGCGCAUUAGCUAGUUGGUAAGGUAACGGCUUACCAAGGCGACGAUGCGUAGCCGACCUGAGAGGGUGAUCGGCCACACUGGGACUGAGACACGGCCCAGACUCCUACGGGAGGCAGCAGUAGGGAAUCUUCCGCAAUGGACGCAAGUCUGACGGAGCAACGCCGCGUGAGUGAUGAAGGUUUUCGGAUCGUAAAACUCUGUUGUUAGGGAAGAACAAGUAUCGGAGUCACUGCCGGUACCUUGACGGUACCUGACGAGAAAGCCACGGCUAACUACGUG
rnacentral:rRNA from 1 species